rnacentral:rRNA from 1 species
AGCGAACGCUGGCGGCAGGCCUAAUACAUGCAAGUCGAACGGUCUCUUCGGAGGCAGUGGCGGACGGGUGAGUAACGCGUGGGAACGUGCCCUUUGGUACGGAACAACUGAGGGAAACUUCAGCUAAUACCGUAUGUGCCCUUCGGGGGAAAGAUUUAUCGCCAUUGGAGCGGCCCGCGUUGGAUUAGCUAGUUGGUGGGGUAAUGGCCCACCAAGGCGACGAUCCAUAGCUGGUCUGAGAGGAUGAUCAGCCACACUGGGACUGAGACACGGCCCAGACUCCUACGGGAGGCAGCAGUAGGGAAUCUUGCGCAAUGGGCGAAAGCCUGACGCAGCCAUGCCGCGUGAAUGAUGAAGGUCUUAGGAUUGUAAAAUUCUUUCACCGGGGACGAUAAUGACGGUACCACAGAAGAAGCCCCGGCUAACUCCGUG